CCAGGUUUCGAGACACUUCAAGCUCUUCUGGCCUGGGUUGGGAGUCUUCAUUCACAGCAUCAGCCUAUUUUGUUCAACCUCUGCCUCCCGCCCUUGUGGUUCGCAGCUGUCUGCCGCAGCUGAAGGGUCAACAGCCACCCAUCUCCACGCGCACAUCUCAUGAAUAGAAAUGUCUCAUACUGCCAGACAAAAUGGACUGCAAAAGUGAAGUUCAUUUCAAUAUUUUGAUUGCCUUGUAUUCAGAUCUGACCUAGAGUAUAUGUUCCCCCCCAUCUUUGCAAUGGCAACUAUGCAGGGUAUCCAUCUUGAAUUAGAUUUCCCAUCAUUAUUUUCCCAAAUAUACUUAAGUUCACUGUUCAAAAGGUCUUUAAUCAAAUGACACACAGCUUAAAGUGGAUAUAAAGUCUACAAACCCCUGUUCAAAUGCCAGGUUUUUGUGAUAUAAAAAUGGGAGCUAUACAACUCAAUUGAAUCUUUAAAAAACAAAAAUGAAAUCAAUUUAAAUAAAAUGUAUGUCUUCUUAAAAAAAUCUUUUCGAGAGGGAAAGUUAAAGAAAACAGAAAUACUGUAGUUGAACAAGUAUAUAUACCUCUCUUACAAAUGGAAUGUGGCUAGAUUCAGAAUUAACUAAUUACAUUCAAACUUGCUAAAUGGGAUUUAGCAACUGCCUGCCACAAUUUAAAGUGCUUCCGAUUAACCCCAAAUUAAGUUCAGAUGUUCCAGUAGGCUUUUCCUGCCAUGAGUUUUGCUUUCUAGCAGAAGCCUGAAAGUUUUGCGCUGAUGCUGAUUUGAUUAUUUAGACUAUACACAUAAUUCCUUGCCCCUUGUCUAAGGCUCCAUUUCCAACUGAAGAACAGCCCCAAAGCAUGAUUCUGCCACCACCAUGCUUCACUGUGGGUAUGGUGUUCUUUUGGCGACGAGCGGUAUUGUUAGCACCAUGCAUACCUUUUAGAAUGAGGGCCAAAAGGUUCAGCUUUGGCUUCAUUGGACUAUCACGCAUUUUCUGGCGUGUGUGGGAAAUUUUGUUACGGUACGUACAGUGCUGUGAAAAAGUAUUGUCCCCUCUUCUCAAAUUGUUAUAUUUUUGCAUAGUUUCCCCCACUUUAAUGUUUAAGAUGAUCAAAAAAAGUUUGAAUAUCAGACAAAAUAACACAAGUGGACUUAAAAUGCUGUUUUUAAACAGUGAUUUCAUUUAUUAAGGAACAAAAAUUCAAAAGUUACCUGGCCCUGUGUGAAAAGUAAUGGCCCCCAAAACCUAAUGACUGGUUGGGCCAUCCUCUGCAGCAACAGCAUUUUCUAUAGCUGCCAAUGAGUCUUUCACAUCUCUGUAGAGAUAUUUUGGCCCACUCAUCCUUGCAUAAUUGUUUGAAUUAAGCCAAAAUUCAGGUUUUCUUUUAGCAUGAACGGCCUUUUUAAGGUCAUGCCACUGCAUUUCAAUCUGAUUGAAGUCCGGAGUUUGACGAAGUCAGUCCUAAACCUUCCUUUUGUUUUUUUAAGCCAUUCAUAAGUUGACUUGCUGGUGUGUUUUGGAUCAUUAUCUUGCUGCAGAACCCAAGUGCGCUUCCGCUUGAAGUCACAAACUGAUGGCUGAACAUUCUCCUUCAGGAUUUUCUAGUUGAUACCGUUUCUGUUUCUAACAUUCUCCUUCAGGAUUUUCUGUUAAAGAGGAGAAUUCAUGGUUUAUCAAUUACAGCCAGUUGUCCAGGUCCUGAAGGAGAAAAGCAGCCCAGUACAUCACACUAGCACCACCAUGUUUGACUGUUGGUGUGAUGUUCUUUUUCUGAAAUGCUGUGCUACAUUUACACCAAAUGUAACGAGACGCACACCUUCCAAAAACCUCAACUUUCGUCUUGUCAGUCCAUAUAAUAUUAUCCCAAAAAUAUUGGGAAUCAUUCAAUGUUUUUUGAGAAAGUAAGACAAGCCUUUAUGUUCUUUUUGGCCAGCCGUGGUUUUUGCCUUUGAACUCUGCCAUUUUUGCCCAGUCUUUUCCUUAUUGUCGCGUCAUGAACCCUGACUUCAACUGAGGCAAGGGAAGCCUGCAGCUCUUUAGAAGUUGAGUUUCUCUGAGUUUCUUUGUGGCCUCCUUGAUGAGUCAUUGCUGUUCUCUUGGGAUAAUCUUUGUAUGCCCGCCACUCCUGUGAAGUCGCCACUGUUCCAUGUUUUCGCCAUAUUUGUGAGGAUAAUGGAUCUCCCUAUGGUUUGCUGGAAUCCUAAAGCUUUAGAAAUGGCUUUUUCUUGACUGUUCGGGUAUUUCUUUGGAUCGUGUCAUUUUGUUGCAGCUUUUUUACAUCUUUUGUCUGAUUUUGUCUGGACAGAUUCUGUUUAAGUGAUUUCUUGAUUGAACAAGUUUGGAGGUAAUCAAGCCUGCGUGUGAUCAGUGAAAAUUAACCAAAUGUUGUGAUUAAGCACAAUUAAUUAAUGAUUUAACAAGGGAGGUAAUUACUUUUUCACACAGGGCCAGAUAACUGAAAAGUUUUUUCCUUAAUGAAAUCACCAUUUAAAAACAGCAUUUUCAGUUCCCUUGAGUUAUAUUUGUUUGAUGAUCUUAAGCAUUAAAGUGGGGAAAAAUCUAAGAAUUUGAGAAGGGGGGCAAUACUUUUUCACGGCACUGUACUGUAUGUACCGUAUAUUGGCCACACUCAAGGUGGGAAAAGUUUUGGAAUGAUUUAUCUUGAUCUCAUUUUACUAUAUUGCAAAAAAAAAAACUGACAGUUUUUGAACAGGGGUGUGAAGAGUUUCAUUUUGUGGAGUGUAAGGUAGAUUUAGGUAGUUUGCAUUAAUACAUGCUGCUACCUUGGAGCUGCAAUCAUUCUAAAAAUAUCAAAAUAGUUAUUUUUGUGAUAUAAUUUUAAGGCCUCAUAGACCACUGCUUGUGGUCAUAUUUAGUGGAUGAGUGGUCUUAAUUUUGAUAUUGAUCCAAAAAAGAGUUACCUAAUAUAAAGUGAAAUUAAAGUCUUGCAUUUCCCUUCCUUGAAGAUGCAGAUUCCAUAUCUAUAAUAAAUUUAUGCUUUCAUCAUUCCCAUUAAAUAGAAUUAAUGUGUCUGCCUUUUUCCAUGUCAUCAUCUUGAAUAUCACUGUAGCUACAAUGCAGUCAGUGUCCCUUAACCUUGCUGUUAUCGCGCCCAAGAGCCUUGUGUGUUAUCAUGUGUGGCAGUCUCCACUUGUUUGUCGCACACUGUAAAAUCUUACACAGUUAAUCAUCUCUGUCGCUGUCUGUCAACCUGACAGCCUGUCUGACUUUUUCCCAAAACAGUCAACCAAUUUCGAGGUUGCACUAUCAAGCGGGUAGGUCACAUGGAUGUGUGUAUGUGUUUUUGUGUCUUCCCUAUUAAUAAUUUAAUUCACACUAGAUCUUACAUAAUUUGUGCGAAAUCCGAGUAAAUAAAAUAACUAGAAUUUAUACAAACUUUGAAGGAAAAAUCUAAAAUUGUGCCAGAUUUAUAAUAUACCUGAGCAUAACAUUUUAUUCUUACUACCUUGAUAAGUGAAAGAUGAAUGGAUGGCUACAUUUGAGUAAAAUAACUAAAGUUGUGAAAAAUGGUUAAUUCAUACUAAAUCCAUGCAUAAAACGAUUUAUACUAGAUUUGGAGAGAAAAAAACAAAAAUUGGAAAAAAUAAUUAGUCCUUUUAAAGUGAAAACAAAAUACAGAAUGUUGUUUAAAUUUGACACACUAGAGAACAGUGUUAAUGACCUGCCAAAUUUGAACGACUUAAAAAAAAAAAAAAGUGUAUAAAAUGAUUAGACUGAAUUUGAGCAAAAAUACUGUAAAUUAAAUUUGAAGAGGGCUACAAUUAUAGUGACAAUCCUUCGCUCCUGUACUCGCUGUGCAUAGUUUUGGGAGACUGUUUUGAUGUGCUCUCAACAAACAAUUGUCUAUUCCGUUGUUCUCUUUUUGGGUGAUGUUCCUAUUUGAUAGUUCAAUCUGCAGAAAAAAACAUAACUUGAAUACAUGAAAAACUUAAAUUGGGAUGCUUAUAGAUACUGUAGCUUCACUGCCAGCCCUCCCAGUUAAAAUGGAUAUUGCACUUCAAUAGCCGCCAAUGGAGGUGAAUGAGUUUUAACGUUGAUUGUGAGUCAUUUUCAUUUCCUCUAAAAGAUGACAGAGAAAUUAAGCCUGACUUUAAAGGGUAGACUUAAAUAGAUGACUUCCCUUCUUUCUCCUCCUCAUUCUUCCCCACUUUGAGUCUCCCGUCUCCUCACUUUGUUGCUUUCUAAUUCUGCUUUCUGCUUUCUCCCCCUUUUAGCCCCCAUCAACCAUCAGCCAUUUUGCUUUUCACCCGCCUCUCUGUCUCUCCUUGGCUGGUGGGCUAGCCAGGAGGCCGUGCACGAUUCAGGCGCGUAAUCUGUUCUUUCUCCCCUUUUUGGAUUUCCAUUUCAAUCACACGUUCACAGCUGGAACCGAGGCUGCUGCGCAUGCAGAUGAGCACGGGCCACUUUUUUCUCCCCGAAAGCGACAGGCAGGAGAAGACCGGGAGGCUGGGGAGUGACAGAUUAUGCUGUGAUGCAAAGCAACUGUUGCUAACGGGUGCAAAUCGUUCGAUUCCACUUCAUUAUCCUUCAGCUUCACACGGAGUCCACAGAGAACGACUGAAAAUGUUGUUUUGGGUCAGCGCAUUUGACACGAGAAGCAAAUCAGACUGACAAUAUGAGGAAAAAGCAGUAGCCCAAACAAAAAAAGUCUAGAUAGCAAGAAGUAGCAAAAUAACAAGCAAACUAGUGUGAAAUCACAAUUUGUCUCUGUUUAACGUUAGAUGAAUUGGACACUUCAUUAGAUCUAGCUCUUCUCUUUCCUUCUUUCCUUUGGAAUAAGUUUGGCAAAAAUGUCAAAGAAAGAGUUCAUUCUUUGAUGCUAGCUGAAAUGAGGACUUGCACGAUAGUGGUUUGAGCUUAGACGUUUUGUGCGACUUACUCUUUCACUUCCACCUUAAACUUAACAGAUGCCACCAGUACUCUGCAAGAGGUAUGUGUUGCAGUCGAUACUUCAUUCUCUGAUGUUAGCUGAAAUCAAGUCUUGCCCCAAGUUUUCAGAAAAUUCCGAAUUAAGAACUCAUUGGCCGUUGGAAUGCUGAGGUUUUGUGGGACUCACUUUGAUUUCCACUGUAAAUGCCAGCUUUACAGAUGUCAUGUCCACCCUGCUGGAAGUGUGUGUUGCGAUAAAGACUUAAUUCUUUCAAGCUGGCUGAAAUGAGGUCUCACACGAUGGUGGUUCCAACUUGGAAGUUCCACACAACUUUCCUUUAAACUGCAAUGGAAACAUCGGCACGGUGGCGGUUUAAACUCUGACUUUAAUGUGACCUGCAAGAUGCCGCAUCUUCACCAAAAACUGAUAAAUGAUGGUGUCAAAGUGGCAUCACCCAGAAAAAAAUCGCUAGAUUAGAAAAUUCUGAAAAUUUUAGUUAGUUUAAUCGUACAAACUAUUUCCAUGUUAGAGGGAUGUGAUUUGAUUAGCGUAUUUAUCUAGAAAAUUAAAAAGCCACAAUUUUGCAAGUAACUGAAAUCCAUCAGAGGAUAGAAAGAAUCACUAAUGACCUGAAGAUUCAUUGUGUUAUUUGGUUCCAAAUCCUUGCCUUAUGCUCCAUGACUCAGGCGGAGGAGCAUAGCUGGUCUCUGUUCUUCUUUGGCUGCGGUCCAACACUUUCCCACAUUUUCUCAAGUCCACUCCGAUGACAAAGCUGGAGUUCUUCAGAGAGCGCAUGACUUUAGCGGCCUGACUCAUAUUUGUGGUGUCAGAGCUCUGCGAAGCAGUCGCGGCUGAGUCAAGUUCUGCCAGUGAAUACUAAGGAUUGUUUUUCGGGGCUUCGGGAAGUUGUAUACUCAAGCUUCAGCCCGCUGCCUCCAUUAUACGCAGCACAGAUACAAACACACUCACACUAAUUGAUGUUAUUGUGGUGGGAGGCCCUUAAUGCACUUCUCCAUGCAGCCAGGCACUCAUGUUGCAAGCGCAUCCCAUUUAUGGGGGGAAAAAAAAAAAAAAAAAAAAUCUGUUGCCAAUUGAUUAUAAUAACAGAUAUUGAUUUAAAUGGACAAGCGCAGCAGCAGAAGUAAUUUGCUCACAGUGAAGCAAUGAGGUGGGAUCAAAUGUGUUGGCCAUUUAAUCUGCUUAUUAAAUCUUUAAUGGCAUUGUCACCAGACACUCUUGGGGCUCCUUUUGUUUGGGAGUUUUCAACAUUUUACAGUAAUACAGAAUGUGAUUUACCAACAAGUACAAUAGCUGAUACAAGAUGUACCUCUAGAAGCUAAGUAUGCUUUUAUUCACAUUUAAUAGGCUCGCAUAAGAAUUUAUUAAUGCUUAAAUCACUCUGUUUACCAAUAUUUGGGUUACAAACAAGCCUAAUUUGGACCCGCAUCAUCAAAUUACAUUACAGUGAACCACUGCAUAUUUGCAUAUCAGCAUUUUAUUUUUUUCUCUGGGAGGGCGGGGCAUCUUGGUGGCAAAACACUGUUGCAGUGAGUUGAGGAGCUUCAUGUAGUGCUUUACUGCCAUUUGUGGCAUUUUGGUGCCAAGGAAUUAUGUUGAAGUGAGGAAUAUGUUGAGGAGCUUAAUGCAGUGCUUUGCUACCACCUUGUGGCAUCCAUAGACAUUAUAAACCUUUUGUGGAAGGUCAAUUACUGACGGAUUUUUGCUAUUCGUGGGAGAGCUUGGUACCGAUCCCCUGCGAAUAGGAGGGGAUCACUGUAUACCUGUCUCCAAAGAUAUCCACCUUCUAUUUUUUUCUUCCCUGCUGCACCGUGCUGCCUCCCACAGGUUAGUUUUGGUACUACGACAGACAUCUAAUUUGGCGAAGGAGUCUAGCAGUCAUCGGUGGUGAUAUCAUUGUGUGUGGUGUGCUGUGUUGCUCAUCUUAAAAAAAUCGGUUAAGAUGGAAAAAUAACAUUGGUAUUUAUUAGUUCUUGGACCCCUCCUGUUCAGCCUGUACAUGCUACCCUUGGGUUAAAUUCUUGAGAACUUUAAUUUGGACUAUCAUAGCUAUGCAGAUGACACACAGUUAUAUCUCGCCGUGUCUCCAGAUGACUACCGUUCAAUUGAGUUGUUGUGUCACUGUCUAAAACAGAUAAAUAUCUGGAUGAGCCAACAUUUUCUUCAAAUUGUUUUUGGCAAUAAAGAAAAGAGGAUUGCUGUUAGUAAAUACCUGGAGUCACUCUCUUUAAAAACCAAAGACCAAGUCCAAAACCUUGGUGUUCUCAUAGAUUCUGACCUGACUUUCAACAGUCAUAUCAAAUCAAUUACUGAAACUGCAUUCUACCAUCUGAAGAACAUAUCCAGAGUGAAUGCUUGCAUGUGUCAAGCAGACCAAGAGAAGCUCAUCCAUGCUUUUAUCUCAAGUAGACUUGACUAUUGUAACGAUCUUCUGACUGGACUCCCUAAAAAGAGCAUUAAACAGCUCCAGCUCAUUCAGAAUGCUGCAGCUCGGGUUCUGACCAGAACAAAGAGGUCAGAGCAUAUUACUCCAAUUCUAAAGUCUUUACACUGGCUUCCAGUCCGCUUUAGAAUAGAUUUUAAAGUUAUUCUACUGGUCUAUAAAUCACUAAACGGUUUAGGUCCUGAAUACAUGAAUGAAAUGCUAAUGGAAUAGAAACCCAGUGGGGCUCUGAGAUCAACAGACUCCGGUCAAAUAGUGGAGCACAGAGUCCAAAGCAAACAUGGUGAAGCAGCAUUUAGCUAUUGUGCUGCACACAAAUGGAAUAAGUUGCCAACAGAAGUGACGUCAGCCUCAAGUGUGCAUGUUUGUAAGUCCAGGUUAGAAACUUUUUUCCCCCCAUGCUUAUUAGAGCAUUUCCACUUUUAAAUGAUAUUUCUUGCACUGCACGCUGUUUUACUUGUAUUUUUCCCCCUCUCUUUGUUUUAAAUGUUUAUAAGCUGGGUUUUUUUUCUUUGUUUUUAAAUGCUUUUAAUCAUGUAAAGCACAUUGAGUUAUCUUGUGUAUGAAAUGCGCUAUAUAAAUAAAUUUGCUUUGUGCAGGCUCCUUGA